rnacentral:rRNA from 1 species
CAGCAGCCGCGGUAAUACGUAGGUGGCAAGCGUUGUCCGGAAUUAUUGGGCGUAAAGGGCUCGCAGGCGGUUUCUUAAGUCUGAUGUGAAAGCCCCCGGCUCAACCGGGGAGGGUCAUUGGAAACUGGGAAACUUGAGUGCAGAAGAGGAGAGUGGAAUUCCACGUGUAGCGGUGAAAUGCGUAAAGAUGUGGAGGAACACCAGUGGCGAAGGCGACUCUCUGGUCUGUAACUGACGCUGAGGAACGAAAGCGUGGGGAGCGAACAGGAUUAGAUACCCCUGUAGUCCCUGUCUCUUAUAC